rnacentral:rRNA from 1 species
UACGGAGGGUGCAAGCGUUAUCCGGAUUCACUGGGUUUAAAGGGUGCGUAGGCGGGGCGGUAAGUCAGUGGUGAAAUCCUGCAGCUUAACUGUAGCAUUGCCAUUGAUACUGCCGCUCUUGAGUACGCUUGACGUGGGCGGAAUGUGCCGUGUAGCGGUGAAAUGCUUAGAUAUGGCACAGAACACCGAUCGCGAAGGCAGCUCACGAAGGCGAAACUGACGCUGAGGCACGAAAGCGUGGGGAUCGAACAGG